CAACUCCCAUCACCCUUAACCCUGCAAGCGUAAUUACCUAUAUGAUCACAACCAUGUAACACCUAGGUGAUAUACGUGAACAUCACAAGUUAAAUCAAUAAAAUAUCCCCAAUCGAAUCUGACACUGUGUCAGUUGGAAUAGUGUAAAUCAACACUGUAUGGAUGAGAGCCCUGUGUAUAAUCAACAAAAGUUGUUUAUUUGGCAGAAAAAAUGUUGAACAAAAAAUAAUGACAAAAUGUGAAAAAAUGUACAGUCCCAGUGUGCACACACUAAAAGUAGCAAAAAUAAGCAUCAACUGGUGGAUGGUAUUGGAUGGAUCUCACCACUCCUGCUGUUGAGGAAAGUCCUGGAUUAAGUGAAGUUGCUGAGUGUAAUGGCUUGUCCAAGCCUGUAGGUGAAUAACCUUUCAUUACUAUGUGGAUCCCAGUAGCUGCUCCUCAGUUGUCC